AUAGAUAAGGCUAUCCUAAAUGCUCUCCUUACCCAAUAUAUCAGGUGGCAAAUUGUUUAAUGUACGAACUUUGGGAUGUCCAGCAAAGGAGUGGAUUCAUUUCCAGGGCAGAGUGUAUCUACAUGCCACACAUGGAUGCAGGACAAUAAAUAGACAUACUGGAAAUAUCCUUGGCUUGAAAAACAUCAAUGGGCAGACAACCCAUGCACCCUUCAGAAAUGAGUCUCUCUUUCCAGUGCACUGACAGGGUAUGGAGGACUGACAAAAACGAGCUCUGAGGAGUUAAGCGGGUUGAUUGGUAUCAUCAAUCAAGCUUUCAGGGAGUUCUCUUGUGGCCACCUGGCUUAAGAGUGUCUAACUGUGAGAGCUGUGACUGUGGAAAGAGCUGCAUGAGAUCAAAUUCUGGCCAAACCACAUCCCAUUGUCACAGGUAGCAUCCGAAUAAAUUUAUAAAUAAAAAUAGAUUGGGAAAGAAU
rnacentral:lncRNA from 1 species